UGCAUAUACUGCCUGAUACAACUCUGCAAUUGCUUCCCUACAAGAUUGCUGUAGCUUGACUAACUGCUAUGCAACACUAGCAGUGGAACAACAUACUGAUACAGGCAUCAUUAGAUGGUACAAACUAUACACAGACAAUGCAAGAAGACAAACUCAGUUAGCAAGGAAGAGAUCAGGAACAAAUAUCUUAUGGGCAUGGGAAAGAGUGAAUCUAGAAAUCGGAACCCAAAGCUGAACUAGCAAUUGGGUGACUCUUCCCAGUUAGCUACAAGAGCAUACUAAGAACCAACAAACUUCCGAUGCAUCCAAGAAAUAUAAUAACCGAUGAAGAACCCACAUCAUGAAGAAUCAAGAAGGCCACCAACAGAAAUAUCAACACAACAAAAGAGCAAAAAUUUACCAUGAUCUCUGCGGUGGGAAACCAGUCUGCAUAUAAUAUUCAAAGGCAUCAUUUGGUGAACAAAGAUACGUCUGUCUGCUCAAGAAAAACGAAUAGGAAGAUAAAACACAUGGAAGCUCUGUUUCUGAUAAAUAAAUAAGCAUCAAAGGUUAAUAAGGUCGUUACCUUGGAAAGGGUUCAGGGUUUCUGACUUCUUCUUUGGCAACUCCAGCAGUUUUGCCUUCUAGGGCUUAAGAAGAUGAAUGGAUUGAUGGAAGAGCCCUCGG
rnacentral:lncRNA from 1 species